CCUACGGGCGGCUGCAGUGAGGAAUAUUGGUCAAUGGACGCAAGUCUGAACCAGCCAUGCCGCGUGCAGGAAGACGGCUCUAUGAGUUGUACACUGCUUUUGUACGAGGGUAAACGCAGAUACGUGUAUCUGUCUGAAAGUAUCGUACGAAUAAGGAUCGGCCAACUCCGUGCCAGCAGCCGCGGGAAUACGGAGGAUUCAAGCGUUAUCCGGAUUUAUUGGGUUUAAAGGGUGCGUAGGCGGUCGGAUAAGUUAGAGGUGAAAUCCCGAGGCUCAACUUCGGAAUUGCUUCUGAUCCUGUUCGGCUAGAGAGUAGUUGAGGUAGGCGGAAUGUAUGGUGUAGCGGUGAAAUGCUUAGAGAUCAUACAGAACACCGAUUGCGAAGGCAGCUUACCAAGCUACUUCUGACGUUGAGGCACGAAAGCGUGGGGAGCAAACAGGAUUAGAUACCCCAGUAGUC
rnacentral:rRNA from 1 species